rnacentral:rRNA from 1 species
GCUUACGGCCAUACCAGCCUGAAUACGCCCGAUCUCGUCUGAUCUCGGAAGCUAAGAUAGGUUGGGCCUGGUUAGUACUUGGAUGGGAGACCGCCUGGGAAUACCUGGUGCUGUAAGCUU